UGCUGAACCAUUCAGAGUGCAUGAACUGCCCAAAGCGCAACAGCACGCAUUUCCGGGUUGUCAGUGACAUGGUAUACUUUUGACACAUGUGUUUUGCUUUGGUUUCUGUUCUGUCACUGCCCUUGUUAUGUUAUUGGUUGUCUCCCUCAUGUGUCAUCAUUAUUCACAGCUGUUUAUGUUUUACCUUUGAUUAUGUUAAUUAUUUAAACCCCUCAUAUGUCUUUGUUGGGCAAAGUGUUGCAUAUUUCUUUGUUUUGCUGCCAGACCCGGACUAACCCUGUUGAUCCUCGAUUCUUGAUUUUUGAUCCUGUUUUCAUCCUCCUAUUUAUUGAUUCUGCUUUCGCCUAGUCCAGUGGUUCCCGUACUUUUUACAGUGGCAUACCCUCCCAGGCAUUUAAUAUCCUUUUGCAUACCCCCUCUCUCAAACUGUGUUGUCUGACGAUGGUAUCCUCUGUAUUGUUUUUUAUUUUUGGCCUUUUCCCCAACCAUUACACCAGCUAUAUCAGUCGCAGCAGAAAUAAUUAAGUCCUCCACAAUAGUAUGGGGUUUGCCUGUCUUAGCCACUCUGUAACUCACCAUGUAGGAUGCUUCCAGACCCUUCCUAUGUAGGUUUUCCUACAAUGUUAUAAGGGCCUUACUACUCCUGAGUUGUCUUAAAUGUCUUUAAAAAAAAACUCUCGAGGUUUAUUUAGCAAAAAGUAAGUAGCAUUCUUUGUUUCUAAAUGUCUGUGCAGAAAUGCUGGUUUCAUGCAGUUAUGAGAGAGUACUUUUGCACAUAUAACACACUGUGGCUGGGGGUUUUCUUUACUACCAGCGUAUGUAAAGCCCAAAGAAAUAUAUUUCUCAUCAUAUUUGCGCCCCUUUGAUGGUUUUUCUGCGAAUUGCUGGUGAAGAAGAGGUGGCGUUUCGACUUCGGAUACAUCGCUGUCUAUAUCAGCGUGAACUGGCCUAAUUGCAGUGAGUACACUUACGCUCGCUAUGGACGCGCUAUUAGAGGGACCUGGGCCACUGCUGUCAGAGGACUGUGGAUCAGCGGCGCUGGAAGUAGAAGUGCUUACUGUGGUUGCGGGCCGAUAUCUUUGUAUUUCUCCAUUUUAAUGUUACGAGCUAUUACUUUACUUCAUCACAUAGCUGUGUGCUGGCGAUAAAUGACAUGCGGUAAGAUUCGCACUGAUGCAUGACUGUGAGUGGAUGCAGUUUUGACGACGAAAGACAGGAUAAUUUGUUUGGAUGUCAUGUAUUUGACCUUCAGAACAUUGCAAUUUUGCUGUUUGUACACUGGAGGGGGCACAAGUUUAUUUUUUGGCCGUGGGAAAAACAUGAAUUAGAAUUUUAAUGUUAUUUAAUCAGGCGGAAUUAAAUGAACAGCAAAUCUAAGCAUUUUGCUUCCGUACCCCCUCCGUCACGUCAUGUACCCCCAGGGGUACCCCAGUUUGGGAACCACUGGUCUAAUGCUUGUUUGACUAUGAUUGUGAUAUAAGUUUUGGAUCACCAAGUGUCAAGUAAAAAAAAAAACUAGAAGUGCUAAUGACCUUUUUCCAGAAGUAAUCAAACUCAAAAACACAAUUGAAAGUAAAAGACUAGAACACGUUGGAUGAGAGAAGCAAAAAUCCAGUUUAGUGUUCAAAAAGCAGCAUGAGAUCCAAACAGUGAGACGUCCCAAAGUGAUCUGAAUCUGUACACAGACUUACUGCCCUAUUUAUACAGUUGGACUCUAGUCUAUGCCCAAUUAUCUCAUUCUUUUGAAAUCCCUAUAUGUUUCAAUGGUCUUUUUGAUUUCCCCUUAAACUCUACUUUUCUCAUUUUGAAAUCCCAUUAGAAUCAGCUAUGCUCACUUUGAAAUCCCCUUAAAACCUAUUUUCGGCCUUUUGAUAUCCCCUGUGACGACAGGCCGGCGGCCAGCGCACAAAAGAAGAAAAGCGCUCCUCCCGCAACUGAAAGGGAAACUGAUGCUGAAAGGACAGCUCUGCUUCAGCACCACUAAUGUUUUGGACAGCCGAAGAUACAACAGAAAAGGAUUUUGAUCCC
ensembl:lncRNA